GAUGCGCUUCUAUCCCUGUCGAGGCCCUCGAGCCAAAAUAAGGAUAGGAUCACAUCUUGGGCAUUACACCGCGGAGGCAAGCUGGAUGGUGGCGACGCAGGUACGGUGAUGCGGGGGAGCUGUCUACGGGAGGUAGAGCGCAAAUGACGGGGGAAGGAGAAGCGGUGGACAGCAGGCUCGGAGGAGGCUCGGGGCGGCGCAUUGCUGGGACAAAGGUCCGGGGACCCGAAGAGGAAGAAGGCGGCGAGCGGGCGCUGCGGUGCCCUUCGGCUUGAGCUCAUGACCGGAGGAUAAGAGGUGGACAGUGGUGGAGCUACUAGGCCCAUCGGCGAGGUGAUAGGGGCUCGAUGGUUAUGGCAACAGCAGCGACAUGGCGACGAUGGCGCGGGAGCUCGCGGGGAAGAAGAGUGUGGAGCGAGGGGGAAAGUGAGAGGGAGCUAGGGUUCCGAGGCGGCUGGGGGGCGCCUUGUAGCCGCUCGUAAGCUGGCGGAUGGCGGGCACGUGGUCGAUUUGUAGCAGGUACGGCGCAUGGGCGUCAACGCCGUCCUAGGUGAACAGAGGUAGGGAACAACCUCUCGUGGGUUGGGCCUGUUAGCUUGGCAUGUCCCUAUGGACUAAGGCCCAGCACAGAUCAUCCUGAUGAAGUCGUCAUACUUCCUUCAGGAUCUUCAUCGUCCUACGAAUGCGAUAAGAGGGAAAACUCUGGAAGAACAUAGCUACACAAAGUUGGGCAUCUAACGGUGAACUUGGGGAAGAAGACAUGAAUUAUUCAUCAAGUUGUAUCCUAGGGAGUCCGUUGAGAGGAAUAAAUGAUGGUACAAAAGUUUCAACGGGUAGGCAAUCAUUCCAUGCCUAAUGAGAAGGGGAAAUGGGUUCAAAGCAA